rnacentral:rRNA from 1 species
GAAGUUAAAGGCUGUGGCUUANCCAUAGUACGCUUUGGAAACUGUUUAACUUGAGUGCAGAAGGGGAGAGUGGAAUUCCAUGUGUAGCGGUGAAAUGCGUAGAUAUAUGGAGGAACACCGGUGGCGAAAGCGGCUCUCUGGUCUGUAACUGACGCUGAGGCUNGAAAGCGUGGGGAGCGAACAGGAUUAGAUACCCUGGUAGUNCACGCCGUAAACGAUGAGUGCUAGGUGUUAGGCCCUUUCCGGGGCUUAGUGCCGCAGCUAACGCAUUAAGCACUCCGCCUGGGGAGUACGACCGCAAGGUUGAAACUCAAAGGAAUUGACGGGGGCCCGCACAAGCGGUGGAGCAUGUGGUUUAAUUCGAAGCAACGCGAAGAACCUUACCAGGUCUUGACAUCCCGAUGCCCGCUCUAGAGAUAGAGUUUUACUUCGGUACAUCGGUGACAGGUGGUGCAUGGUUGUCGUCAGCUCGUGUCGUGAGAUGUUGGGUUAAGUCCCGCAACGAGCGCAACCCUUAUUGUUAGUUGCCAUCAUUCAGUUGGGCACUCUAGCGAGACUGCCGGUAAUAAACCGGAGGAAGGUGGGGAUGCCGUCAAAUCAUCGUGCCCCUUAUGACCUGGGCUACACACGUGCUACAAUGGCUGGUACAACGAGUCGCAAGUCGGUGACGGCAAGCUAAUCUCUUAAAGCCAGUCUCAGUUCGGAUUGUAGGCUGCAACUCGCCUACAUGAAGUCGGAAUCGCUAGUAAUCGCGGAUCAGCACGCCGCGGUGAAUACGUUCCCGGGCCUUGUACACACCGCCCGUCACACCACGAGAGUUUGUAACACCCGAAGUCGGUGAGGUAACCUUUUAGGAG